CCCGCUCCCAUCCUUCAUCCGCCGGCUCGGGGGCGCGCCCCGCGGCUGCCGGGGCAGCGUGCGGGAGCAGAUGCGGGACGUGGCGGGGAGACCCAGCCGCAGGUGACAAACAGCGGCGGCUCCUGGGCUCACGCCGCUCGCAGGGCUGGCUGUGCCAGGCGUGCACAUGUCCCUGCGCGAAACACGGGCGUGUGUGUCUGUACCGGAGAUGCAGAUAUAUAUAUGGGGCUUGAUUUAUAUCUAAUGGCACGUAUAAAGCUUUUGAAGGUGGCUGCAAUGUAAAAAGUAAUGACUUUAUUACCCCUGAAAGGUUCUGCGGUUCGCAGUUAACACUCUUCUGAAUUACAAUUCAUUACGCUCUCUAAAGCCAACCUGCAUCAGAACACCCACCUGUGCUUAUUCCCAAUCACAAGCAUCGUUUCAUUGAUUUUCUUUUUCAAAAAUCAUAGCAAAUUAAGCACUUGGUGACAACUAAAUCUGUUUCAUUAUCGUGCCGUGUUUGAGAUUCCAGAGGUGACUUCCCAGACCGCAUCUCAAAACCUACAGUCAGGAGCUAAUUUUACAGAUGCUUUCAUGAACGGCAGCGAGGAUGUUCUUACCAUCAGCAUGCCCUUAAUUCCAGCACUGUAAAAAUGCCUCGAUUUAAAUGGAAACUCGCUGCCUUAAAAAUAAUAUUUAAUCCUGGCUGGAUAAUUAUUAAUAUUAUCAUUUGAUCGCAAUAGUGCUGGCUCCCCCUCGUUCCUGUAUCCCCCCCCCCCCACCCCACAGCGCUUCGCAUUGUCAUGUGAUUGGAGGGAGAUAACAAACCUCAAGAAAGAAAAGGAGUGAGAAGACAUUUUUAACACGGCAUGACCGCAGAUUAAUAAUGCAGGUGGGUUUUUAUUUCAUUGUAUUUUUAGGGGAAGGGAACGAGGCCGUUUAACGAGCAGUCGUGGACACAAAGUGACUGUAUUUACAAUCCUUGAUGUGGCUUUCGGUGGGCAAUAAAUUAUGACAAUAUUAAAAUUAUUUUCUGGCAGCCCAGUUAACUGCGCUGGGGACUGUAAAGCCCCUACUGAUUCCAUUUAUGCCUUGUAAUUGCGGUCCACGGUCUCGCUCUAAACCUUUUGGUGUAUAUUGUGUGUAAACUUUUAGCUAAUAGACUUUUUUUGAAUGGAGGGACUUUUCUCGGUACUUCCUGCCGUAUACAUUUUGUCUCUGAUCUCUGUAUUUAAUGGCCAAGUCCUGGUUUAUGCUUUAUAAUGUGUUGACAAGUUUUCUAACAGACUUUCUGAAAUAAUGCACAUAUAUUCACGUCGGUUAGAAACUCCACAGUAUUUUUAGAGUCGAGUAGAUCUAUAUCCUAAUGCACUGAGAGGGAGUGUAAAUCAUAGAGGAUUUCAUAGCCCUUUCAGUAGUUUUCUGUAUGAAGUAUGAGCAGCGUGGCCUCCAGACGUAACCUUUUAGAAAAAAAGACAGUGCUUUUAUUUUAUGGUGUAAAGUGCUUUUAGCUUCAGGGCUCUGAACGUGAAUGUGGUCAACAAACAGCUCUUGCGAGAGGGAGUUUGCUCCAGCCUGAGCCCAGCGCCCGGCGCUCUGGGGAGGGAUGCGGGGCCGCCCCCGGCCGCAGGACCGGGCUGAGCCCCGCCCAGAGACCCGGGUCCCUCCGUCAGUGCCCUGGGCUCGGACACUCCGCGGAAAGGGGGGACGGAUGGCCCCCGGCGCUGCCGGAGAGGCUGGUGAUGGCAGCGGGGUCAGCCCCGGCACGUCCGGGGACAGGGGGGGGCUGAGCUGCCUCCGAGCUGGCAGCAAAGACAGGGCCAGAGGGCAUGGCUGAGAGUGCCCCAGGAAAGCUGUGGAGCAAGGGCGAUGCACCCAUCACUGCCCCACUGCACCCCACAAGCUGCACCUUGUGUAUCUCUGCCUCCACCCCCGCAGCACCUCCGGGACACACCGAGCAUCUCCAGCCCUCUGUACCUCCUGGUGUCCCUUGCUGGGUUGUACUAACAAACCCAGUGCAAGUGGCAGGUGAACACAGUGAGAAAUGCCCAAAUGCUGACUGCUAACACCUAGAAGCCCUGGCAGAUUGGAAGGGCACCUGAAAACAAACCUAGGCCAGAACAGAAGAUGACCCGGUGAUCAUGUUCUGUGGAUUGACACAAACUUGUGUCACCUCCUGCUCCUCCACAACGUUCUUUGCCCAAGCUGCAGGGGAUGCCUCAUAGCCACGCUGCAGCGUUUGGAGCUGCUGUCACCCUGGCCAUGUUAUCAGCUGCUCUUUGGCUAGGGAAUCCUAGCCCCAGAGCAAAGUCAGCUGGAGGAAAUGUGGCCCUACACCUCAGCAAAUUGUGAGGUACACGCUGAAAUCAGACCCAUGGUGGGUUUCAGGCUGCCUCCAAGGGGAAGCUAACCUUAGAGAACAGAAGGGUCUGUCUCACUAGCUGAGUGCCCAUCCCACCUCAGGCUGUCCCAUGUGAACACGAGCCUUGAGACACCAGCUCAUGCCCUGGAGCAGCUAAGAGCAGAGGUGGACACCCAUCCCUGUCCCACAGCAAUGGCAGUAACCUGCAGCAGCAGGACAAAGUGUCCGGGUGAGAAGAUUCACGCUGUAAAACUUAGUGCAAGAUUUAAAUCUGCCAAAACGUAUCCGUCCCUUUCCUCCUACCCCAGCUGUCUGCCUGAGAAACAGUGUGGUCCUCCCUGCAUUCAAGCACCUGAGAUUCUUAGAGGUUGAUGUAGAAAGGGACAUAUAAUUAACAUUGAGAAGUGUGCCCUUCUCCAUCCAGGCAGGCACCCAGGACUGCGACCCGAAGGUGCAAAGGAGCAUGGCACAGUUCAUGCCACGUACUGCUGUCCCUGCCUAUCUGCUAAUUUAGUGACAGACUUGGCAGUGGGGUAUGAAAUUGGUACUUCUAGCUCUUCUGAAGCUCCAUACUCAAUGGAAUAUGUAUAGAAACCCAAGGUAAAGCUACAGCUGCCUCGAGGAUUUCACAGGGCACACCUGGCACCCUGACCCACCUGUAUGUUCCUAUACCCUGAGAAGAGGCCAGGAACAAGAAAUGACACUUUAGUUAUCUCCAAAGAGGGUCCUAAAUGUGUAAGAUAAAGAGAAUACAAAUAAAUAUCUUUGCUAACA